GAACCCUGCCUUCCUCCUCUACGUCCUCGUCUACUUCCCGGAGCCAAACGCGCCAAGAACUGCUCGAGAUCUUCCACGUCUGCAUCGUCUACGUCCCGGCCACCUCGUCUUCCUCGUCGCCGGCGACCUUCUCCGCCGCUUCCUCGUCUCCGACCACCCCAGGCAUUUGCUUCUUCCCGGAUAGGAUCGCGAAGUGGUGUGUGAGAUACGCCAAGUCCUCCGGAUGUUCCUCGGCAAGCUUUAACAGGCAAGCAUUUCCCUUAUACUUCUGCCCCUGCAGAAGUCGCUCACCUAUUUUAUUUUGCCUUCUCCCUCAUGCUAUCCUUAAGUUGCGUUCUUGUCACGUGUCCCUUCCACUUGUUACCUCAAGCAGCCCAUAUUGCCACCACCAACCACCAACCACCUAUGGCUAUUGUUUGGUUAUCGGGUCUGCCUUGCGAGUCGUAGUGCAUGCUAGUGUUGUUUUAUCUCGUUACCGUUAUUGCUAUCUUAUCGGGUUAUCAGUUGGGAAUCAUGACACAUGGUUUAUGGAUAUAUCUGUUGAGGGUAUCAUGGUUACUUGUUAAUAGUUGUUAGCGGAGGCAUCGGUGGGUCAGUUGCUCGUUU